rnacentral:rRNA from 1 species
GACGAACCGUGCGAACGUUGUUCGGAAUCACUGGGCUUAAAGGGCGCGUAGGCGGGCUGCCGCGUCCGGGGUGAAAUCCCACGGCUCAACCGUGGAACGGCCUCGGAUACGGGCGGCCUCGAGGGGGGUAGGGGCAUCUGGAACUGUGAGUGGAGCGGUGAAAUGCGUUGAUAUUCACAGGAACUCCGGUGGCGAAGGCGAGGUGCUGGACCCCUUCUGACGCUGAGGCGCGAAAGCCAGGGGAGCGAACGGG